rnacentral:rRNA from 1 species
UACGAAGGGGGCUAGCGUUGUUCGGAAUCACUGGGCGUAAAGCGCACGCAGGCGGAUCGAUAAGUCGGGGGUGAAAGCCCGGGGCUCAACCUCGGAAUUGCCUUCGAUACUGUCGGUCUCGAGUCCGGGAGAGGUGAGUGGAAUUCCUAGUGUAGAGGUGAAAUUCGUAGAUAUUAGGAAGAACACCAGUGGCGAAGGCGGCUCACUGGCCCGGUACUGACGCUCAGUUGCUAAAGCGUGGGGAGCAUACAGG